GAGUGGCACCUUCAAGGAGUCUCGAUCCAUUUCCACUCCCAGAGACAGCAUGCAAAGAGAUGAGGUCUCGCCAAGUUGUCUAGGCUGGUGUCGAACUCUUGGGCCCAAGUGAUCCUCCUGCCUUGGCCUCCCAAAGUGCUGGGAUUACAGACACUGUGUCCCUAGGAUGUUCCUUGUUCAGAAUCCAGCCUCAUCAGCUGUCCCAGAGCCCCACAGAAGCAUCCUGACAUCAUCAAUCCACAAGAGACCGAACGUCUGCAGAGCCCGGAAUGAAUCAGACAAGAGAAAGCUGCCCCCAGACACCCCAGCUUCCAUUCAUGGCAAAGGCCUUGCCUCGCAGCAGCAACGUGACUAA
rnacentral:lncRNA from 1 species